GGAUAGUGGCUCAGAGGUAGAGCGCUUCCCUAGCAUGCGAGAGGCACUGGGUUCGAUCCUCAGCACCA
rnacentral:tRNA from 1 species